AUUCAACCUUACUUUCCACAAACAACAACAUAAUAUUCACUUUUGGCACGCUCACAGAAGUUUCCCUUGGACCAUCUCAUUCAACCUUACUUUCCACAAACAACAACAUAAUAUUCACUUUUGGCACGCUCACAGAAGUUUCCCUUGGACCAUCUCAUUCAACCUCACUGUCCACAAACAACAUAAUAUUCAUUCUUGACACACUCAUUGAAGUUUCCUCUUAUUCAUCCUCUCCAAAUUUUCCUUUCACAAACACAUACUUAACAUUCUCUCUCUUAACACACCAACUGAAGCUUCUGAGGUACUAGUAUUUUCCUUCCAUUUAAAAAUAUAACUUCCCAUCUGUGUUCUUACUAAUGUCUAUCUAUCAACGUCUAUGUAUCUAUCAGUCUACCCAUCUAUAUCCUCAUUCAUGUAUUUAGGUACUCAUAUUUUCCUUCCUUUUAAAAUAUCUAACCUCUAUCUAUGUAUCAGUUAUUUACUUAUUUUUCUCUAUGGCAUCACAAACAUCAACAACACAUUCUCUCUCUUUGACACACCCACUUACGUUUCCCUUGAUCCGUUCUAUCCAAAUUUGCCGUCCACAAACACUAACAUAACAUUCUUUCCUGACACACCCAUUGAGGUUUUCCCUGAUCCCCGCCCACCUUUGUUCGUCAGUGGCAAACCUUAACCUUUCGUCCUGAGGGAGGAAGACCAGAUUCAAUAACAGGUUUGGCCAUCCCGCCGCGGCCAGUGUCGAGUGGCUGCCAACUUGCCACUGACACGAGACACUAGAUACCUCCCCGUCUCUCUCACCCACCCCCGCACUCCCCCGCCUGUCCCCGCAAUCCCUCACGCUACUCACCUUCCUUAACACUGUCACCGAACACCGCUCACACUCAUUAACACCUCUCGGGGAUGAUACACCAGACAGUAAGUCAUAUUAAACGUAUCGAACUUCCAUUAUGACCAUUUCCCAAGGCCACAGAGGUUUUCAUGGGUGUUUUUUUUUCUCGUUCAAAGUGUAGACCAUAUUAUUAAACGUACUAAGCUACCUUUAGGACCAUUUCCCAAGGCCACAGGGAAGACUAACCAGGUUUUCACGGGUGACUUUUCCCCGUUGAAGAUGCAGGGGCCGUGUCAAACUACCACUAGGAGCACAAAACUACUAUUUCCUAAGGCCACAGGGAAGACUAACCAGGUUUUCAUGGGUGACUUAUCUCGUUCAUGAUGCAGAGGCCGUGUCAGACUAUUACUAGCAUCACAAAACAGCCCAUGAGAAUCCCAGCAGCUUCCACGUGAGGCUUUUCAAACGUGGGAACUUAAGCGCCGAUACGUUUACGAGUAGGGACAUUUUGGAUAGGUAUCUGAUGGAGCAUUAAAAUCUUCUGCCGUAUGAACAUGAGUGAGUGUGUGGGUGUGCGUGUGUGUGUGCGUGGGCAGCGUGACUCAGUGGGAACGCAAGUGUAGCGGCAGAUAGGUUCGGCCAUAUAAGGAGCGGCUCCCCCCACCUACUCCACCCGAAUUAGGCGCCCUUCUGACGUCACUCCCCGCGUCGUAGCAGAGUAGACCCGCUGUGUGUUGUCUUUCGUGGCUCAUUGAGGGAACAGGUUUUCUGAAUGAGCGGCUUGACAUGCGGGAGACUCUAGGGCACUGUUAGGUUAAGUUAGUGAAGGUGGAGGCUGGGGACAGGUUAAGUUAGGUGAAGGUUAGGUAGCAGAGUGAAUGAGUGACUGUGUGUUGUUAUUCUGAAUUAGCGGGUUAACAUGCGGGCGACUCUAGGGCACAGUUAGGUUAAGUUAGUGAAGGUGGAGGCUGGGGAUAGGUUAAGUUAGGUGAAGGUUAGGUUAGGUAACAUAAUAGAUACCAGCUGUGGGUUGUUUUUCACGGCGCAGAGAAGGAACAGGUUUUCUGAAUGAGCGGCUUGACACACGGGCGACUCUAGGACACAGUUAGGGAGCCAGAGUAAGCGUGAAGGUUAUAUUAGACACAGUUAGGUUAAGAUUGGCUAGUCUAGUGAAAGUGGGCGAUGGAAAAAGCUAACCAGAGGACGCAUGAAGGUUAGAUUAGGCACAGUUAGGUUAAGAUUGGCUAGUCUAGUGAAAGUGGGCGAUGGAAAUAGCUAACCAGAGGACGUAUGGAGGUUAGAUUAGGCACAGUUAGGUUAAGAUUGGCUAGUCUAGUGAAAGUGGGCGAUGGAAAUAGCUAACCAGAGGACGUAUGGAGGUUAGAUUAGACACAGUUAGGUUAAAUUAGAUAAGGUUAAGUUAGGGAAGAAGGAGGAUGGGUAUAGAUGGCCAGAGAACGCGUGGAGAUUAGGUAGGUACUCUUCUCUAUACCUGAGCGUGAUGAUGCAAUGCUCACCUUCAGAUUGUGCUGACAGGUGUGU